rnacentral:RNase_P_RNA from 2 species
UGGGUCGGCUGGACGGUCGCGUCACGGGUUCGCCCGUGCCGAGGAACGUCCGGGCUCCACAGGGCAGGACGGUGGGUAACGCCCACCCGGAGCAAUCCGCGAGACAGUGCCACAGAGAGCAGACCGCCCCGGCCCGUGAGGGCCGGAGUAAGGGUGAAAGGGUGGUGUAAGAGACCACCGGGGUCGUGGUGACACGACCCGCGAGGUAAACCUCGUCCGGAGCAAGGUCAGACAGGGGAUGACGACGCGGCUCGCCGAGUCCCCGGGUAGACCGCUGGAGCGGCGCGGCAACGUGUCGCCGAGAGAGAUGACCGUCCACGGGGCCCCUGAGCUUGUCGAAGGGACGCCCCCGGACAGAACCCGGCGUACAGGCCGGCCCAUUCG